AAAUUUCAUGCUCUAACAAACCCCUUCUGUAAUCCUUUUUUCCCAUUAGCUUUCAGACCUUAUCAAAUCUCUUACAAUCUAGAGCAAAGCAUAUAUGCGCUGUUACGGACAAGAGAUAAGGGAAUUUCACGGUACAGGGAGUUUGGCGUACCAGUAAAUUGGCUAUUAGAUUCAUGAGUUGUGGGCAAGGGUUGUUAUGUUGAUGUAAGAAUUCAAGGUUUUUGGAUCUCAUAUUUCAGAAGUAUACAGAGCCUGCCUCUAGAUUUACAUGAGUGUAAGCAGAACAACCACUGGCAUAGAAACUGCUAAAUCUUCCUUGCAGUUAUAUCAUUUUGUGCUGCUCUUGGAUUUUUGUUGUAUGGUGGAAGGUUGUUUUUCCUGUUGAGGCGCUUCCCCGUUGAAUCCAGAGGUCGUCAAAAGAAGCUUUAUGAGGGAGAGAAACUUAAGGGACAUAGAGAAUUUAGCAGAAAAGAUUGCCAAUUUCUUGUUAAGUGAGGCUAAAACAUACUGAAAAAAGGAUAAUACAUCUAUAAUACUUAUAGGUCCUAUUAUAUAUGUUUUAA